rnacentral:rRNA from 1 species
GUUGAUCCUGCGGGAGAGCGCUGCUAGUGGGAUUCGACUUAGCCAUGCAAGUCAGGUCGCAAGACCGGCAACAGGCUCAGUAACACGUCGGUAACUUGCCCUACGGUCAGGCAUAAGCUCGGGAAACUGAGUGUAAUACCUGAUAGAGAACGGACACUGGAAUGUUCCAUUCUCGAAACUCGUGCCGUAGGAUAGGCCGCGGCGGAUUAGGCAGUUGGUGAGGUAACGGCUCACCAAACCUAUGAUCCGUACGGGCCAUGAGAGUGGUCGCCCGGAGAGGGACACUGAAAUACUGGUCCCAGCCCUACGGGGUGCAGCAGGUUCGAGUUCUCCACACUGCAUGAAAAUGCGAUGGGGGAAUCCCACGUGCUUAUGUCUAACAUAGGCUUUUGCCAAGACCAGAAGCCUUGGCGAAUAAGGGGUGGGCAAGACCGGUGCCAGCCGCCGCGGUAACACCGGCGCCCCGAGUGGCACUCGCGAUUAUUGGGCCUAAAGCGUCCGUAGCCGGAUUGGUAAAUCCUCUGUGAAAUUGUGCUGCUCAACGGUACAACGUGCAGGGGACACUGCUAGUCUCGGGACCGGGAGGGGUCAGAGGUAUGCCGUGGGGACCGGUAAAAUGGGAUAAUCCACGGUAGACCACCAAUGGCGAAGGCAUCUGACCAGAACGGAUCCGACGGUGAGGGACGAAAGCCAGGGGAGCGAACCGGAUUAGAUACCCGAGUAGUCCUGGCCGUAAACGCUGCGAGCAAGGUGUGGCUUGUCCCAUGAGGACCGGCCGUGUCGAAAUGAAGAUGCUAAGCUCGCCGCCUGGGAAGUACGGUCGCAAGACUGAAACUUUAAGGAAUUGGCGGGGGAGCACUACAAGGGGUGCGGCGUCGGUUUAAUUUAACUCAACGCAGAGAACCUCACUAGAAGCGACGGCAGGAUGAAGGACAGGCUGAAGACCUUUCCCGACGAGCCGAGAGGUAGUGCAUGGCCGCCGUCGGCUCGUGCCGUAAGGUGUCCAGCUAAGUCUGGUAACGAGCGAGACCUGUACCCACAAUUGCUAACGACACAUGUGGAUCGAGCACAUUGUGGGGACUGCCUUCGUAAGAAGGAGGAAGGUGCAGGCAACGGUAGGUCUGUAUGCUCCGAAUCUUCUAGGCUACACGCGCGCAACAAUGGUCAAGACAAUGGGCUGCGACACCGAAAGGUGAAGCUAAUCCUCGAAACUUGAUCUUAGUACGGAUCGAGGCUUGCAACCCAGCCUCGUGACGCCGGAAUCCCUAGUAAUCGGCUGUCAACAUCUGCCGGUGAAUACGUCCCUGCUCCUUGCACACACCGCCCGUCAAACCAACCGAGCAGGGUCGAGGUGAAGCCACGCUUUUUGGCGUUGCUGAAUCUCAGCUCAGUGAGGUGGGUUAAGUCGUCACAAGGUC